rnacentral:rRNA from 1 species
AUUGAACGCUGGCGGCAUGCCUUACACAUGCAAGUCGAACGGUAACAGGUUAAGCUGACGAGUGGCGAACGGGUGAGUAAUAUAUCGGAACGUGCCCAGGCGUGGGGGAUAACGUAGCGAAAGCUACGCUAAUACCGCAUACGAUCUACGGAUGAAAGCGGGGGAUGGCAAGACCUCGCGCGAUUGGAGCGGCCGAUAUCAGAUUAGGUUGUUGGUGAGGUAAAAGCUCACCAAGCCUGCGAUCUGUAGCUGGUCUGAGAGGACGACCAGCCACACUGGAACUGAGACACGGUCCAGACUCCUACGGGAGGCAGCAGUGGGGAAUUUUGGACAAUGGACGCAAGUCUGAUCCAGCAAUGCCGCGUGCAGGACGAAGGCCUUCGGGUUGUAAACUGCUUUUGUACGGAACGAAACGGUGAGCUCUAAUACAGUUUGCUAAUGACGGUACCGUAAGAAUAAGCACCGGCUAACUACGUGCCAGCCGCCGCAGUAA